GGGGGUGAACGGUUUCGACUUCGGUGGUUGAUCCAGGGGAAGCGGGCCGAGGGCUGCGGUUGUGACCUCGUUAAUCCUGCGGCCGUACACCAAUAAGUGCCAACGCUAAGCGCACUGACCUCGCCCUCGCCGCCUAAGGCGAGUUAGGGGUUGUCAGCCCGGGGACGCCUCCGACCCGGUGCCUGGCAUCAGCAAGGAGGAUCCACCGCCUGACCCGGCCGCGGGGCAAGGCGGGACACCUCACAGCGGCUGAGCCCGUCGGCGACUUGCUUGCGUGAUCGCCGGGGCUGAGAAAAGCACAGCAAGCUGCGCCCGGAGAAGCCCUGGUGAGGCACUGAAGGACGCGGGUUCGAUUCCCGCCACCUCCAA
rnacentral:tmRNA from 1 species